rnacentral:tRNA from 1 species
GGUUUCAUGGUGUAAUGGUUAGUACUCUGGACUUUGAAUCCAGUGAUCCGAGUUCAAAUCUCGGUGGAGCCU